CCGCUGCGCGCGGCUCCUGGGCUGUCACAGUCUCCCGUUGCCGCCGUCAUGUCCCGGCAGCUGUCGCGGGCCCGGCCAGCCACGGUGCUGGGCGCCAUGGAGAUGGGGCGCCGCAUGGACGCGCCCACCAGCGCCGCAGUCACGCGCGCCUUCCUGGAGCGCGGCCACACCGAGAUAGACACGGCCUUCCUGUACAGCGACGGCCAGUCCGAGACCAUCCUUGGCGGCCUGGGGCUCCGAAUGGGCAGCAGCGACUGCAGAGUGAAAAUUGCUACCAAGGCCAAUCCAUGGAUUGGGAACUCCCUGAAGCCUGACAGUGUCCGAUCCCAGCUGGAGACGUCACUGAAGCGGCUGCAGUGUCCCUGAGUGGACCUCUUCUAUCUACAUGCACCUGACCACAGCGCCCCGGUGGAAGAGACACUGCGUGCCUGCCACCAGCUGCACCAGGAGGGCAAGUUCGUGGAGCUUGGCCUCUCCAACUAUGCCGCCUGGGAAGUGGCCGAGAUCUGUACCCUCUGCAAGAGCAACGGCUGGAUCCUGCCCACUGUGUACCAGGGCAUGUACAGCGCCACCACCCGGCAGGUGGAAACGGAGCUCUUCCCCUGCCUCAGGCACUUUGGACUGAGGUUCUAUGCCUACAACCCUCUGGCUGGGGGCCUGCUGACCGGCAAGUACAAGUAUGAGGACAAGGACGGGAAACAGCCCGUGGGCCGCUUCUUUGGGACUCAGUGGGCAGAGAUCUACAGGAAUCACUUCUGGAAGGAGCACCACUUCGAGGGCAUUGCCCUGGUGGAGAAGGCCCUGCAGGCCGCGUAUGGCGCCAGCGCUCCCAGCAUGACCUCGGCCGCCCUCCGGUGGAUGUACCACCACUCACAGCUGCAGGGUGCCCACGGGGACGCGGUCAUCCUGGGCAUGUCCAGCCUGGAGCAGCUGGAGCAGAACUUGGCAGCGGCAGAGGAAGGGCCCCUGGAGCCGGCUGUCGUGGACGCCUUUAAUCAAGCCUGGCAUUUGUUUGCCCACGAAUGUCCCAACUACUUCAUCUAAGCUCAUUGUGGCUCAGGCUGCCCAAGGCUUUUCUGUCAACUCUUUUGCUCUCUCCCGCUUUGUCUAAUUUAGAACUGCCUCACUAAAUUCUUAGGGAUGGAAGUAUUUGGAAAAAAACCUAACAGUAGAGUCACCACCUAAGGAAGAAUAAAAUCUCCCAGGGUGCUGUGUGUUAGUCUGUUUGCGUUGCUAUAAAAGAAUACCUGAGACUGGGUCAUGUAUAAAGAAAAGAGGUUUCUUUGGCUCACAGUUCUGCAGUCUGUACAAGAGGGUGUGGUGCCGGCAUCUGCUCUUGGUGAGGGCCUCAGGAAGCUUAGAAUCAUGGCAGAAGGGGAAACGGAGCCAGCGUGUCACAUGGUGAGAGAGGGAGCAAGAGACAGACAGGGGAGGAAAUUCACACACUGAUGGUGGGGAUGUAAAAUGGUACAACCAGUUUGGAAAACAGUUUGGCAGUUUCUCAAAGGAUUAAACAUAAAAUUACCAUAGGAUUCAGCAGUUCCACUUGUGGGUAUGUAGCCAAGAGAAAUGAAAACAUAUCUCCCCACAAAAAAACUUGGGUAUGAGAUUUCACAUUAUCAUUGCUCAUAAUAGCCAAUAAGUAAAAACAACCCAAAUGUCCAAGAAUGAAUAAAUGGAUAAACAAAAUAUGGUAUAUUUAUACAACAGACUAUUAUUCGGCCAUUAAAAAAAAAAAAGAGUGGCUGACACCUGUAAUCUCAGCACUUUGAGAGGCCAAGGCAGUAGGACUGAUUGAAGACAGGAGUUCCAGACCAGUCUGGGAAACAAAGCGAGACCCUGUCUCCACUAAACAUAAAAACAAAAUUACUGGGGCCCCAUGGCACACACCUGUAGUCCCAGCUGCUCGGGAAGCUGAGAUGGGCGGAUUGCUUGAGCCCAGGUAUUCAAGUCUGGAGUGAGCUAUGACUGUGCCACUGCACUCCAGCCUGGGCGACAGAGCAAACCCUGUUUCCAAACAAACAAACAAACAAACAAAUACACAGACAGAAGUAGUUAAACAUCUACAAGGUAAGUGCAUCUUGAAGACGUGUUAAGUUAAAGAAGCCAAUUACAAAAGGUUUCACGUUGUAUGAUUUCGUUUAUAUGAAAUGUCCAGAAUAGGCAAAUCUGUUUGAGAGAGAGAAAGUAGAUGAGUACUUGCCUAGGACUGGGAGGAGGAUUGCGAGGAAAUGGAGAUUCACUGCUAAUGAGUACAGGGUUUCUUUUGGGGGCGCUUAUGAAGAUGCUCUGAAAUUGAUUGUGAUGGUUGUACAACUCUGAAUACAUGAAACAGCAUUAAACAUCACUUUAAGUAAGUCAA